GAUGAACGCUGGCGGCGUGCCUAAUACAUGCAAGUCGAGCGAACAGACGAGGAGCUUGCUCCUCUGACGUUAGCGGCGGACGGGUGAGUAACACGUGGAUAACCUACCUAUAAGACUUGGAUAACUUCGGGAAACCGGAGCUAAUACCGGAUAAUAUAUUGAACCGCAUGGUUCAAUAGUGAAAGACGGUUUUGCUGUCACUUAUAGAUGGAUCCGCGCCGCAUUAGCUAGUUGGUAAGGUAACGGCUUACCAAGGCAACGAUGCGUAGCCGACCUGAGAGGGUGAUCGGCCGCACUGGAACUGAGACACGGUCCAGACUCCUACGGGAGGCAGCAGUAGGGAAUCUUCCGCAAUGGGCGAAAGCCUGACGGAGCAACGCCGCGUGAGUGAUGAAGGUCUUCGGAUCGUAAAACUCUGUUAUUAGGGAAGAACAAAUGUGUAAGUAACUAUGCACGUCUUGACGGUACCUAAUCAGAAAGCCACGGCUAACUACGUG
rnacentral:rRNA from 1 species